AGAAGCAAUAGAAACUAAAAUAAAUAUUUACAGAUAAAAUAAUGUUGUAGUGGUUUUUAAAGACGGCCAUAUUUCUGUGACACUCCUCUCAUUGAUAGAUGAGAUCUAGGUUCUCUCUCCUUGAAUCUGGACAGGCUUGUGGCUGUUUUCACCGACAGACUGUAGUGGAAGAGACAUGCUGUGACUUCUGUGGCUAGGUCAUAAAAGGCCAUAAGUAUGACCCUAGUUUACUAGGAACACUCAUCUUUGAGUCUCAAGGCUGCCAUCUUGAAAGGGCAUGUUGACGGCUCUAGUUGACAGCUCCAGCAGAGCUUGUCCUUCAAACAUCCCAGUCCAGGCGCCAGACGUGUGAAUGAGGAUAUCGUCUUAGAAGAGGAUCUUACAAUCCAGAUAGUGAAGGUUACUUAUGACAGGCUAUUGUGACAUCAUCAGUUAUAUCACAUCCGUAUAGUUAGAGCAGUUGUGAAAGAGCAUCAGCACCUUCCACUCUACAGGAGAGAAAUAGGCAGCCCAUGGUUCACAGAUAUAUCCAUUUUUGUGAGGGAGCCUGUGGCCAUACCAAGUCCCGAUCACCCACUCACUGAGGAAAUUAUUUCUUCAGAACAACUUGAAUGGACUGAGCAAGCAAUUUUCUCAGAAGUGUCCCCAUUCGAUGGAGAAGCUGAGCUAUUCUCUCUUUUUUUUUUUUUUUUUUUUUUUUUUUUUUGAGACAGAGUCUUGCUCUGUCACCAGGCUGGAGUACAGUGGCGCGAUCUCAGCUCACUGCAACCUCCAUCUUCCGGAUUCAAGAGAUUCUCCUGCCUUAGCCUCCUGAGUAGCUGGGACUACAGGCACGCACCACCACACCCGGCUAAUUUUUGUGUUUUUAGUAGAGACGGGAUUUCAUCAUGUUGGCCAGGCUGGUCUAAAUCUCCUGACCUCGUGAUCUGCCUGCCUUGGUCUCCCAAAGUGCUGGGAUUACAGGCGUGAGCCACCGCGCCCGGCUGAAGAGUUGAAAAUGGCCAUCCAGAGGAGGUCUUGGUGGCACUGAAUCCAAGAGGAAGCCAGGGGUCUUGGGGUACAAAUGAAGAGCGAGCUCAAUGCCACGUCCUCCUCUAUGCAGACAUGGUCCAGGCUCCACCCACACUGGGACCUUUAAGUGUGCUUCCUCUGCCUUUCCAACACAAAUGUUUAUAAAGCUUUAUUCAAAAUAGCCCCAAACUUUAUUCAAGAUAUUACCCAGAUGUCUGUCAAGUGGUUGAUAGGUGAACCAAUUGUGGUACAGUCAGUUCUAUAACAUGACACAUACAUUCCUGUUUUUUUUGUUUUGUUUUGUUUUUGUUUUUGUUUUUGUUUUUGUUUUUGUUUGUUGAGACAGAGUCUCGCUCUGUUGCCCAGGCUGGAAUGCAGUGGUGCGAUCUCAGCUCACUGCAAGCUCUGCCUCCUGGGUUCACACCAUUCUCCUGCCUCAGCCUUCCGAGUAGCUGGGACUACAGGUGCAUGCCACAAUGCCCAGCUAAUUUUUCUAUUUUUAGUAGAGACGGGGUUUUACCAUGUUGGCCAGGCUGGUCUUGAACUCAUGAUCUUAUGAUCCACCCGCCUCGGCCUCCCAAAGUUCUGGGAUUACAGGCACGAACCACUGUGCCCAG
rnacentral:lncRNA from 1 species